CACCCCUCCCCCUCCAGACGCGUACCAACAUCUGCAAAUGGAAAGUCACUUCUGAUCCUGGACCCUUUCACUUCAACUUCUUUACUUUCGUCUUGAGGACUGCGGGAUUUAUAGAACGUCAGUGGAAGUCUGCUGUGUGGAUUUCUAGCAAUGUAAUGAAGCUUUACAAGCCGCGCGCUUCUUCUGAUUUAUUGUGAGGAAUUUCGAAGUGAAAGUUGCAAUGUGAAGGUGCAGCAUCAGUUAUCCAAUGAUCGAAACCAGCACGCCGACCAUGGUGGACAGAACUGAACCAGCACAUUGCACUGUGUGCUGCUGUACCCUGGCCAACAAAAUCCUCAUGGUGCUCUUCAUGGUGCUGCUGAUAUUCGCCACUUUGUUUGGGAAUCUGGUGACUCUGGCUGUAGUGCUGGGAACAAAACACUUCCACACACCGCAGGGUUACUUGAAGGCUUCCCUUGCAGUGGCUGAUCUGGCUGUGGGGAUAUUUGUGGUGCCACUUUCAGUCUACGCUGAGGUCUAUCUCAUGGUGGCUGACUCUGCACCCGAGUGGACUUCAUAUAACUCACAAUCAGUGAGUUUCCACCCAUGUAACAUCAUUGGUCCCAUCUUUGCUGGCUGCACCUUUGUCUCCAUCACAACCAUCUUCCUGCUGACGAUCGAGCGGAGCAUUGCAGUACUGAAGCCGCUGCACAAAGACUCUGUAAUUACUCGUAAAAGGACCACAAUCCUCAUUGUCCUCUCUUGGGUGGGGAGUUUUUUCUUGGCUGUGUCACCAAUGAUCUUCAGCAGUGAGAUCGCUUUGGAGUAUAACUCCUGCAGCAGGAUGUGUAAUUACGCUUUAGGGUCCAUUGGCGAGUUUCCCAGCCAAGCUUGGAACAUCCUUCUCCUCUUCCCCACAUUUGACUUCACCCUCCUCGGUAGCACUGUUGUCAUUAACAUCAUCUCUCUCUCCAGCAUCAGGCAGCACUCAAAACGCAGGAAAACCCUGGCAGAGACUGAAUACCUUAGCACAAGCAACCCUACGUUCUCAGAUAUUAAAGCAGCUAAGACCAUUGGGACUCUAACAGUGGCCUUCACCGCAUCAUUCACCCCCAUUGCUGUCUUCGUGGUCGGGAAUGUUUUGGGGAAUAAAUGGUGCAACUUUUCUUUUUUUGCCUUCUGGAUUUUGGCUACUAACAGUUGCUGGAAUGUUAUCAUCUACAGUGUGAGGGAUCAGAAGUUCAGACUUUGUGCGCACAAACUUCUAAUACCUUCCUACAGACAAAACACCACCAAAACUUAAAACCACAAACAUGGAUGUCUAAUGAAAAGCCUGAACAGGUUGGCAUAGUCUGGAUGUUUGUACAAACAUUUUGCCCAUCACAUUCAAGAAUCACUAUGAGACUACACUCAGAAGCGGGACCAGGACCAGCUGCCUGUGGCCAAACUGAAAAUUAGGAAAAUGUAAGUAUUUGAGGAGUAAUCUAGCUAUGUGAGCUGUUGGCAGUUAGCAAAUUUACUAUCUCAGUGGUAGCUAAAAGAGAAACACGUGUUGUGUAAUUCCAUCAACCUGCAUAUUUUGCAGUGUGUGAAUAAUUAACAUAUUUAAGUGUUUGUGUGGGAUUUUUAUUUAUUUAUUUAUUUUUUAAUUAUUUAUUUUAAA